GCGGGUGUGGCGGAAUUGGUAGACGCGCCAGCCUUAGGAGCUGGUGGGCGAAAGCUCGUGGGGGUUCAAGUCCCUCCACCCGCA
rnacentral:tRNA from 1 species